CACGUAGGGCGCAAGCGUUGUCCGGAAUUAUUGGGCGUAAAGAGCUCGUAGGCGGUCUGUUGCGUCCGCUGUGAAAACUCGGGGCUUAACCCCGAGCCUGCAGUGGAUACGGGCAGACUAGAGGUAGGUAGGGGAGAAUGGAAUUCCCGGUGUAGCGGUGAAAUGCGUAGAUAUCGUAAGGAAGACCAGUGGCGAAGGCGAAUCUCUGGACAGUUACUGACACUGAGGCUCGAAGGCCAGGGGAGCAAACGGG
rnacentral:rRNA from 1 species